AACGAACGCUGGCGGCAGGCCUAACACAUGCAAGUCGAGCGGACCCUUCGGGGUUAGCGGCGGACGGGGGAGUAACGCGUGGGAAUAUGCCCUUCUCUACGGAAUAGUCCUGGGAAACUGGGGGUAAUACCGUAUACGCCCUUUGGGGGAAAGAUUUAUCGGGGAAGGAUUAGCCCGCGUUGGAUUAGGUAGUUGGUGGGGUAAUGGCCUACCAAGCCGACGAUCCAUAGCUGGUUUGAGAGGAUGAUCAGCCACACUGGGACUGAGACACGGCCCAGACUCCUACGGGAAGCAGCAGUGGGGAAUCGUAGACAAUGGGGGCAACCCUGAUCUAGCCAUGCCGCGUGAGUGAUGAAGGCCUUAGGGUUGUAAAGCUCUUUCAGCUGGGAAGAUAAUGACGGUACCAGCAGAAGAAGCCCCGGCUAACUCCGUG
rnacentral:rRNA from 1 species